UGGAUUAGCGGCGAACGGGUGAGGAACACGUGAAGAAUCUGCCCUCCACUUUGGGAUAACACCGGGAAACCGGUGCUAAUACCGAAUAUUGAAACAUAAGUGGCAUCACUGAGUUUUGAAAGAAUUUCGGUGGAGGAUGACUUCGCGGCCUAUCAGCUAGUUGGUGAGGUAAUGGCUCACCAAGGCAACGACGGGUAGCCGGCCUGAGAGGGCGACCGGCCACACUGGGACUGAGACACGGCCCAGACUCCUACGGGAGGCAGCAGUGGGGAAUAUUGGGCAAUGGAGGAAACUCUGACCCAGCGACGCCGCGUGCGGGAUGAAGGCCUUCGGGUUGUAAACCGCUUUCAGUAGGGAAGAAGCGAAAGUGACGGUACCUACAAAAGAAGCACCGGCUAACUAUGUGCCAGCAGCCGCGGUAAUACAUAGGGUGCAAGCGUUGUCCGGAAUUAUUGGGCGUAAAGAGCUCGUAGGUCGUUUGUUACGUCGGAUGU
rnacentral:rRNA from 1 species